rnacentral:tRNA from 1 species
AACCUAUUAGCUCAAAUGGUAGAGCAAUGUUCCAUUGCACAUGGAUGUAGGUUCAAAUCCUACAUAGGUUG